UGAGUAGGCGGCUUGUUUAAGUCACAUGUGAAAUUCCGGGGCUCAACCCCGGAACUGCAUGAGAAACUGGAUGGCUUGAGUGCAGGAGAGGUAAGCGGAAUUCCUAGUGUAGCGGUGAAAUGCGUAGAUAUUAGGAAGAACACCAGUGGCGAAGGCGGCUUACUGGACUGUAACUGACGCUGAGACACGAAAGCGUGGGGAGCGAACAGGAUUAGAUACCCUGGUAGUCCACGCUGUAAACGAUGAAUGCUAGGUGUCGGGUAGAGAUAUUCGGUGCCGGAGUUAACACAAUAAGCAUUCCGCCUGGGGAGUACGUACGCAAGUAUGAA
rnacentral:rRNA from 1 species